CCUACGGGUGGCAGCAGUGAGGAAUAUUGGUCAAUGGUCGGGAGACUGAACCAGCCAAGCCGCGUGAGGGAUGAAGGUACAGAGUAUCGUAAACCUCUUUUGUCAGGGAACAAAGGCGGGGACGUGUCCCCGGAUGAGUGUACCUGAAGAAAAAGCAUCGGCUAACUCCGUGCCAGCAGCCGCGGUAAUACGGAGGAUGCGAGGUUUCUCCGGUUUUAUUGGGUUUAAAGGGUGCGCAGGCGGUCUGGUAAGUCAGCGGGCAAAGCCCGGGGCUCAACCCCGGCCCGCCGUUGAAACUGGCAGUCGCGAGUUGGAGAGAAGUAUGCGGAAGGCGCGGUGUAGCGGUGAAAUGCAUAGAUAUCGCGCAGAAGUCCGAUUGCGAAGGCAGCAUGCCGGCUCCACACUGACGCUGAGGCACGAAAGCGUGGGUAUCGAACAGGAUUAGAUACCCCAGUAGUC
rnacentral:rRNA from 1 species